UGCAAUUAAAGGGGUGCACCUCACCACAGG
rnacentral:piRNA from 1 species